rnacentral:snoRNA from 1 species
CCCCGAUGAAGAAACAUUCACAGGUCUUACCUCCUGUCCUAGUCUCAGAGCCUGUUAAAGAUGAACCCAUGACCGCUGGCCGGAGACGAAGCGGAAAGCUUGUUCCAGAAGCAACUGUCUGAGGGAA